rnacentral:lncRNA from 1 species
CCGGCUUUUUGUUGAUUUUUUGAGAUUUCUCGAAUCUACACAGCCCAUCACUGUUCCUUCUACAUCUGCUAUAAGGGUUACAUCUUCAGCACCUACUAUAACUAUUCCAUGUGUUCAACCU